rnacentral:rRNA from 1 species
AGAGUUUGAUCCUGGCUCAGGAUGAACGCUAGCGACAGGCUUAACACAUGCAAGUCGAGGGGCAGCGGGGUAGUAAGCUUGCUUACUACUGCCGGCGACCGGCGCACGGGUGAGUAACACGUAUGCAACCUGGCCGUCACAGAGGGAUAACCGGGAGAAAUCCCGCCUAAUACCGCAUAAUACCGGGGAAGGACAUCCUUUUCCGGUUAAAGGAGCGAUCCGGUGACGGAUGGGCAUGCGCCGCAUUAGUUAGUUGGCGGUGUAACGGACCACCAAGACGACGAUGCGUAGGGGUUCUGAGAGGAAGGUCCCCCACACUGGUACUGAGACACGGACCAGACUCCUACGGGAGGCAGCAGUGAGGAAUAUUGGUCAAUGGGCGAGAGCCUGAACCAGCCAAGUCGCGUGAGGGAAGACGGUCCUAUGGAUUGUAAACCUCUUUUGCCGGGGAGCAAAAAGCGGUACGCGUACCGCAUCGAGAGUACCCGGAGAAAAAGCAUCGGCUAACUCCGUGCCAGCAGCCGCGGUAAUACGGAGGAUGCGAGCGUUAUCCGGAUUUAUUGGGUUUAAAGGGUGCGCAGGCGGCGAGUUAAGUCAGCGGUAAAAUUUCGGGGCUCAACCCCGACAAGCCGUUGAAACUGGCUUGCUAGAGUGGGCGAGAAGUAUGCGGAAUGCGUGGUGUAGCGGUGAAAUGCAUAGAUAUCACGCAGAACUCUGAUUGCGAAGGCAGCUUACCAAACUACGACUGACGUUGAGGCACGAAAGCGUGGGGAGCAAACAGGAUUAGAUACCCUGGUAGUCCACGCAGUAAACGAUGAUAACUGGUUGUCGGCGAUAUAAUGUCGGUGACUAAGCGAAAGCGAUAAGUUAUCCACCUGGGGAGUACGUUCGCAAGAAUGAAACUCAAAGGAAUUGACGGGGGCCCGCACAAGCGGAGGAACAUGUGGUUUAAUUCGAUGAUACGCGAGGAACCUUACCCGGGCUUGAAAGUUACUGACGAUUCUGGAAACAGGAUUUCCCUUCGGGGCAGGAAACUAGGUGCUGCAUGGUUGUCGUCAGCUCGUGCCGUGAGGUGUCGGGUUAAGUCCCAUAACGAGCGCAACCCCUACCGUUAGUUGCCAUCAGGUAAAGCUGGGCACUCUGGCGGGACUGCCGGUGUAAGCCGAGAGGAAGGUGGGGAUGACGUCAAAUCAGCACGGCCCUUACGUCCGGGGCUACACACGUGUUACAAUGGCAGGUACAGAGGGCAGCUACCCAGCAAUGGGAUGCGAAUCUCGAAAGCCUGUCUCAGUUCGGAUUGGAGGCUGAAACCCGCCUCCAUGAAGUUGGAUUCGCUAGUAAUCGCGCAUCAGCCAUGGCGCGGUGAAUACGUUCCCGGGCCUUGCACACACCGCCCGUCAAG